rnacentral:rRNA from 1 species
UACAGAGGUCCCAAGCGUUGUUCGGAUUCACUGGGCGUAAAGGGUGCGUAGGCGGCUUGUUAAGUCAGGGGUGAAAUCCUGGAGCUCAACUCCAGAACUGCCUUUGAUACUGAGGAUCUCGAGUCCGGGAGAGGUGAGUGGAACUCCGAGUGUAGAGGUGAAAUUCGUAGAUAUUCGGAAGAACACCAGUGGCGAAAGGCGGCUCACUGGCCCGGUACUGACGCUGAGGUGCGAAAGCGUGGGGAGCAAACAGGG